rnacentral:rRNA from 1 species
GACGAACGCUGGCGGCGUGCUUAACACAUGCAAGUCGAACGAUGAAGCUGGAGCUUGCUCCGGUGGAUUAGUGGCGAACGGGUGAGUAACACGUGAGAAAUCUGCCCUUCACUCUGGGAUAACUGCGGGAAACUGUAGCUAAUACCGGAUACUUUCCCUGGUGGGCAUCCACUAGGGAAGAAAGAAUUUCGGUGAAGGGUGAUCUCGCGGCCUAUCAGCUAGUUGGUGAGGUAAUGGCUCACCAAGGCGACGACGGGUAGCCGGCCUGAGAGGGUGACCGGCCACACUGGGACUGAGACACGGCCCAGACUCCUACGGGAGGCAGCAGUGGGGAAUAUUGCACAAUGGGCGAAAGCCUGAUGCAGCAACGCCGCGUGAGGGAUGAAGGCCUUCGGGUUGUAAACCUCUUUUAGCAGGGAAGAAGCGAAAGAGACGGUACCUGCAGAAAAAGCACCGGCUAACUACGUGCCAGCAGCCGCCGUAA